UACGUAGGGUGCAGGCGUUAAUCGGAAUUACUGGGCGUAAAGCGUGCGCAGGCGGUUUCUUAAGUCAGAUGUGAAAGCCCCGGGCUUAACCUGGGAACUGCGUUUGAAACUGGGAGACUUGAGUGUGGCAGAGGGGGGUGGAAUUCCACGUGUAGCAGUGAAAUGCGUAGAUAUGUGGAGGAACACCGAUGGCGAAGGCGGGUUGCUGGGCUGACACUGACGCUGAUGCGCGAAAGCUAGGGGAGCGAACGGG
rnacentral:rRNA from 1 species